GGAUCGCGGCGACGUGGGCGGUCCGCCGCCGGCGACGUCACGAGAAUUCCACUGAACCUUAUCAUUUAGAGGAAGGAGAAGUCGUAACAAGGUUUCCGUAGGUGAACCUGCGGAAGGAUCAUUGUCGAACCCUGCAAAGCAGACGACCCGUGAACAUGUAAACACAACUUGGUGGUGGUGUGAGGUGCCUUGGUCCCAAACCCCAUCCCAUCCUGAUGUUCAUUUGUGGUGCCUUGUUAGGGGCAUCAUUAAUGUUCUGUUGGGACUAUAACAACCCCCGGCACGGAACGUGCCAAGGAAAACAUAUAAUGAGAAGGACUCCUCUAGUGUGCCCCGUUUUCGGUGUGCAUUCUAGGUGUGGCCUCCUUAGAAUCACAAACGACUCUCGGCAACGGAUAUCUCGGCUCACGCAUCGAUGAAGAACGUAGCAAAAUGCGAUACUUGGUGUGAAUUGCAGAAUCCCGUGAACCAUCGAGUUUUUGAACGCAAGUUGCGCCAGAAGCCAUCCGGCUGACGGCACGCCUGCCUGGGCGUCACGCAUCGCGUCGCCCCCACCAUACAUCUCCAACGAGUAGUAUGUGAUUGGGGGCGGAGAUUGGUCUCCCGUUCAUGUUGCGGUUGGCCUAAAUAGAAGUCCCCUUUGGCGGACACACAACUAGUGGUGGUUGAAUAGACCCUCGUCUUUUGUUGUGUGUUAUGAGCCCGGUAGGUUGGCACUUAUCAAAGACCCAACGCAUUGUAUCAUGAAAAUGCCUCGACCGCGACCCCAGGUCAGGCGGGACUACCCGCUGAGUUUAAGCAUAUCAAUAAGCGGAG
rnacentral:rRNA from 1 species